UUUUCUGGUUGAUCCUGCCAGAGGUCACUGCUAUCGGGGUUCGAUUAAGCCAUGCGAGUCGAGAGGGUUCGGCCCUCGGCGUACUGCUCAGUAACACGUGGAUAACCUGCCCUAGGGAAGGGGAUAACCCCGGGAAACUGGGGAUAAUACCCUAUAGGUUACAGAUGCUGGAAUGCUCUGUAACCCAAAGUUCCGGCGCCCUAGGAUGGAUCUGCGGCCGAUUAGGUUGUUGUUGGGGUAAUGGCCCAACAAGCCAGUAAUCGGUACGGGUUGUGGGAGCAAGAGCCCGGAGUUGGAUUCUGAGACACGAAUCCAGGCCCUACGGGGCGCAGCAGGCGCGAAAACUUUACAAUGCGGGCAACCGUGAUAAGGGAACCUCGAGUGCCUGUAAAUGCAGGCUGUUUAGGUGUUUAAAACGCACCUGGAGAAAGGGCCGGGCAAGACCGGUGCCAGCCGCCGCGGUAAUACCGGCGGCUCGAGUGGUGGCCACUUUUAUUGGGCUUAAAGCGUUCGUAGCUGGGUUGUUAAGUCUCUUGGGAAAUCUGGCGGCUUAACCGUCAGGCGUCUAAGGGAUACUGGCAAUCUUGGAACCGGGAGAGGUGAGGGGUACUUCGGGGGUAGGAGUGAAAUCCUGUAAUCCUCGAGGGACCACCUGUGGCGAAGGCGCCUCACCAGAACGGCUUCGACAGUGAGGGACGAAAGCUGGGGGAGCAAACCGGAUUAGAUACCCGGGUAGUCCCAGCCGUAAACUAUGCGCGUUAGGUGUAUCGGUGACCACGAGUUACCGAGGUGCCGAAGGGAAACCGUGAAACGUGCCGCCUGGGAAGUACGGUCGCAAGGCUGAAACUUAAAGGAAUUGGCGGGA
rnacentral:rRNA from 1 species